rnacentral:rRNA from 1 species
UACGUAGGGUGCAAGCGUUGUCCGGAUUUAUUGGGUUUAAAGGGUGCGUAGGUGGCUUUUUAAGUCAUGGGUGAAAGCCCGCAGCUCAACUGUGGAAUUGCCUGUGAUACUGAGGAGCUUGAGUGCGGUUGAGGCAGCUGGAAUUGGUGGCGUAGCGGUGAAAUGCAUAGAGACCACCAGGAACACCGAUUGCGAAGGCAGGUUGCUAAGCCGUAACUGACACUGAGGCACGAAAGAGUGGGGAGCAAACAGG